UAAUGGCAACCAACCCCUUGUAUCAGUACAAGUUGAAGGAUGUAAGGACAGAGAACAGCCCUGCCACAAUGGGCAUAGGGAUACUAGUAAAUAGCAAGUGGACACGAACUAGCAGUGUGUACCCUCACAGCCCAGAAAGCCACUCCUGUCCUGGACUGCACCAAAAGAAUGGUGGUCAGCAGGUCAAGGUAGAUGAUCCUGCCCCUCUGCUCUGCAUUGGUGAGACCACAUCUGGAGUACUGCAUCCUGAAUGCAACCCUAGCAUACUGCUGACUGUCCCUGUUUUGUAUGAUCAGAAAAGUGUUACUAUUGCCAUGAAGUGACAUAUUACCUUUCAUUAACCCUUACAUUUCCUAGAUGAUUGUGUUUUUUCUCCUUUUGUGACAUCCAUUUGUCACACUCUCAGUUGGAGGACUGACAGGAUUGAGAUCUUACUUCUUCAGAAGUGAUCUUACUUCUGUACAAGUUUAAAGCAACUAUUUCUUCUUCCUGGUGAUUAUAGUGAUAGUGAAUUUUUCAACUGAAAUGUAAAACUCGGGGUGUUAUAGAAUAAAUAGAGUAGCUAUGCUAAGCCAGUUUAAGUGACAACACUUUUUGGGAAGAGAGGAUAAAGUUAAGGAAUGAAGCAAGUCAUUAAUCUGAGCAAAAUGGAAAAAAAAAAAAAUCAGGGAGGCAGAAAAA